CGUACGCGGGUUGAUCUGAUACACUGCAUGGUCGGUCUGUCUGGUACGUUCGGAUGGGUGAACCUCAGUUGAAUUGUUCAUAACGUCCUGAUCUCCAUACUGAGCUGAUUCCAUGUACUGAUCCAUGGGCUGGGGCACAUCAUUCCCUCCCUCUUCAAAAAGAUUUGUCCUUAAAUCUGUAACAUUAAAAGGAAAAGGGUUAUAAGCAAAAUAAUCAUAAUCAGAACAUUGCGCACCUUGAGUUUGAUUCGGCCUUUGAAUGGAAGAAGGUCUUUCUUUGUUUUCUUGAUGACCGCGGUUUUGUUAUUUAUCUGCCCCAUCCUG
rnacentral:lncRNA from 1 species